rnacentral:rRNA from 1 species
CCUACGGGUGGCAGCAGUGGGGGAUAUUGCUCAAUGGGGGCAACCCUGAUCCAGCGACGCCGCGUGGGCGAAGACGUAUUUCGGUAUGUAAAGCUCUAUCAGCAGGGAAGAAAAAAUGACGAUACCUGAGUAAGUAGCACCGGCUAAAUACGUGCCAGCAGCCGCGGCAAUACGUAUGGUGCAAGCGUUAUCCGGAUUUACUGGGUGUUAAGGGAGCGCAGGCGGCACGGCAAGCCUGAUGUGAAAGCCCGGGGCCCAACCGCUGGACUGCAUUGGAAACUACCGGGCUGGAGUCCCGGAGAGGUAGGUGGAAUUCCUAGUGUAGCGGUGAAAUGCGUAGAUAUUAGGAGGAACACCAGUGGCGAAGGCGGCGUACUGGACGGUGACUGACGCUGAGGCUCGAAAGCGUGGGGAGCAAACAGGAUUAGAUACCCUGGUAGUC